rnacentral:rRNA from 1 species
AUUGAACGCUGGCGGCAGGCCUAACACAUGCAAGUCGAGCGGAUGAAGGGAGCUUGCUCCUGGAUUCAGCGGCGGACGGGUGAGUAAUGCCUAGGAAUCUGCCUGGUAGUGGGGGAUAACGUCCGGAAACGGGCGCUAAUACCGCAUACGUCCUGAGGGAGAAAGUGGGGGAUCUUCGGACCUCACGCUAUCAGAUGAGCCUAGGUCGGAUUAGCUAGGUGGUGGGGUAAAGGCCUACCAAGGCGACGAUCCGUAACUGGUCUGAGAGGAUGGUCAGUCACACUGGAACUGAGACACGGUCCAGACUCCUACGGGAGGCAGCAGUGGGGAAUAUUGGACAAUGGGCGAAAGCCUGAUCCAGCCAUGCCGCGUGUGUGAAGAAGGUCUUCGGAUUGUAAAGCACUUUAAGUUGGGAGGAAGGGCAGUAAGUUAAUACCUUGCUGUUUUGACGUUACCAACAGAAUAAGCACCGGCUAACUUCGUG